rnacentral:sRNA from 1 species
UUCCAGGGAACGAAGGUUAAAAACGCCUUGUCCUGCGUCUCCGGUUACUCGUUGCAAAAUGCAAUGCGAGAAAUUUUGUGGCAACACCUUCAUGACCUACUUCAUGUUGG